rnacentral:rRNA from 1 species
UACAUGGGGUGCAAACGUUGCUCGGAAUUAUUGGGCGUAAAGCGCACGUAGGCGGUCCCUUAAGUCGGAUGUGAAAUCCCUCGGCUCAACUGAGGACGUGCAUCCGAAACUGAGGGGCUGGAGUAUGGUAGAGGGUCGCGGAAUUCCCGGUGUAGAGGUGAAAUUCGUAGAUAUGCGGAGGAACACCGAUGGCGAAGGCAAUCCCCUGGGCCUGCACUGACGCUCAUGCACGAAAGCGUGGGGAGCAAACAGG